rnacentral:rRNA from 1 species
CCUACGUGAGGCAGCAGUGGGGAAUAUUGCGCAAUGGGCGAAAGCCUGACGCAGCGACGCCGCGUGAGGGAUGAAGGUCUUCGGAUCGUAAACCUCUGUCAGCAGGGAAGAACGGUCACUGUGCUAAUCAGCAGUGAAUUGACGGUACCUGCAAAGGAAGCACCGGCUAACUCCGUGCCAGCAGCCGCGGUAAUACGGAGGGUGCGAGCGUUAAUCGGAAUUACUGGGCGUAAAGCGCUCGUAGGUGGUAUGUCAAGUCAAGGGUGAAAUCCCCGCGCUCAACGUGGGAACUGCCUUUGAAACUGGCAAACUGGAGUGUGUGAGAGGAUAGUGGAAUUCCAGGUGUAGGAGUGAAAUCCGUAGAUAUCUGGAGGAACAUCAGUGGCGAAGGCGACUAUCUGGCACAUAACUGACGCUGAGGAGCGAAAGCGUGGGUAGCAAACAGGAUUAGAUACCCCAGUAGUC